rnacentral:rRNA from 1 species
UACGGAGGGUGCAAGCGUUGUCCGGAUUUACUGGGUGUAAAGGGCGUGUAGGCGGGGGAAUGUGUCGGAAGUGAAAUCGUGCGGCUUAACCGUAUCAAUGGCUUCCGAAACUGUUCCUCUUGAAUGCGGGAGAGGCAGAUGGAAUUCCUGGUGUAGCGGUGGAAUGCGUAGAUAUCAGGAAGAACACCGGUGGCGAAGGCGGUCUGCUGGCCCGUGAUUGACGCUGAGGCGCGAAAGUGUGGGGAGCAAACAGG